CUUAAGAUUGUUCUUAAGCUAUUAUCUUUCAGAAGUCUUUUUUGCUGAGAAUGAAUUCGGUUGCUGCUGCACAGACUUGUGUAGCAUCCUUUGUUAAAUAGGUGUGGCAAUGUCAUGUUGCUCUGUCUGGUUUUGGGGCUGUUUAUGUAAUGUUUCAUGGCAGCUUUUUCUUUGGUCUACCAGGUCUUGCUCUACAGGUGCCUGCCGUGUCCUGCAGCUUCCCCUGUGCAGCCAGAGGACAGGGAUGUGCCCCCAGAGCCAUCAGAGAGCAGGAGCCAACUGCAGCACCAGCAAGAGGCUUGUCCCCACCCUGCUCCCCCAGCCAGCACGGGUGACACGUAACUGUGUCACUGCCCAGGGCAGAGCUGGGCCCUGCGGCCCGGCUGGGUGUGCAGGGGUGCAACCCACAGCCACACAAACCCCACGCUGGGCACAGGGACCCUGCCAGGGCGCAGGGGGAGCCGCCGGCCACACCUCGUGUGGAGCUGCACGCUGGCAUCUGCCCCGGGAGGCUGGGCUGUAAUUACAGUGUGAAACUAGGUGGAAGUGUCUCGUGUUAAUUAAAAUGAGAUCCGGGUUGCAGAGCAGUGCCUGCUGACCCGUGUGAGUUAUCAGUGCUGGAGAGGCGGCAGCCCGGGCCGUUGCUGCGGCUGGUGAGUCACGGCUCGCUCUGGAGGAAACGCCAGCGGCUCCCGGCGCUGCGGGUGCGCUCUGUCAGGAGGUGACGUGGCUCUGAAAGUGAAAUAAUGUGGGUUUGGGGUGUUUUUCAUAGCCACUUUUAUCUCUGCCUGGUCAAUGCGGCUGCGAGGAGCAGAGAAGGAGGACUCUGAGCUCUGCAGAGGUGAUGUCCCGCUGGCAGCGCCUGGGAAAACAAGAAGAAUUUAACUGAAUUUUCAGAAAGCUGACCUAUGUUGGAAAAGAGAGAAAGCUGCUCACAGAGCACACCUGCCACCACCUGCCAGAAGGCCCUGGAAGAGAAGCCAUGAAGUGGGGAUCACCUUUGAUCACUACAAAAGUACCAAGCUCCCAGCUUCAGGUGGAUACUGCUCUGUUCUCCUCCUCCUGCUGUGAAGAGUGGCUUUGACACAUCUUUCCCUCUGCUGUGAGCUGUAUUCCUGAAAUCUGGUGUGCCCUGGUAGGACUGAAGUGUGAUAAGGGUCUUUUGGGAAAGAAUAAAAGGGAAAAAGGGGUAGAGGGGCUACCUGGGAGGGAGGUGUUAAUAAAACUCAGGAUGAAGAUCCAUAUGGUGGAAUGGGUCUGAUCCAUUGGCCUGGAGGUACCUGGCCUGGUACUUGGCCUGGAGAACAUGUGCUUUCUUUGUCUAGGUGUAAUCAAGGCUUACUCAACCAGAAUCAUUUGUCUUGAGCCAAGAGGGAAACCACAUCUGUCAUGAAAAUAAGCAGUAUAGUUCCUUAGAACUCUAUCCUUCCCACUAGGAUUCACCUGGCAUUGCAGACUCCAUUUGGCAGCUUCCUCACAUGAAGCCAUUGGCUGUAGGAUCCUUCCUGAUGCUCAGCAAGUGGCCCAACAACAACGUGUGAAAAAAUAAAGGACAGCAAAAAAAUAAAGGUACCAGCCCAGUGCUGUGCAGUGCUGCACAGGUGUGGUGAGGUGCCUCUCCCCAGCUGCACAUCACUGAAUGCUGUGCAGUGCCCAAGUCCUUGGAGGCAUCAGUGCUCCUUUGAUUCAAUACGUUUAAGAGGCUUUCUCUUGCUGCAUAAAUUGCUUUCUCGUGUCUU